rnacentral:misc_RNA from 1 species
GAUGAAGAACGUAGCGAAAUGCGAUACGUAAUGUGAAUUGCAGAAUUCAGUGAAUCAUCGAAUCUUUGAACGCAUAUUGCGCUCUCUGGUAUUCCGGAGAGCAUGCUUGUUUGAGUAUCAGUGAACACCUCAACUUCCAUAUCUUUUUUGAAAUGGGAGUUGGACUUGAGUGAUCCCAACGCUUUUCCUCACCGAAAAGUGGCGGGUUACUUGAAAUGCAGGUGCAGCUGGACUUUUCUCUGAGCUAUAAGCAUAUCUAUUUAGUCUGCCUAAAAAACAGAUUAUUACCUUUGCUGCAGCUAACAUAAAGGAGAUUAGUUCUUGUGCUGACUGAUGCAGGAUUCACAAAGACAGGCUUCGGCCGACUUUGUAAACUCGAUCUCAAAUCAAGUAAGACUACCCGCUGAACUUAAGCAUAUCAAUAAGCGGAGGA